rnacentral:lncRNA from 1 species
CAGACCUCAUCUUAACGAAUCGUAUCUGCAAAGACCUUUAUUUCCAGUAAGGUCACAUGCUGAGGUUCUGGGGAGAUGUGAAUUUGAGGCGGGUCCAGUUCAACCCACAGCACCAGGUGAUACACUCACCCCCACUCUCCCUACAGCAUGACUCUUCCCAGCCAUCAGGGAAAAAGCCACCUCCCCAGAGAAGCCCUCCCUGAUCACUCCACCUACACUGAGGGUCUCUUGCCCAGUUCUUCUUCUUUUUUUAAAUUAAUGUAUACUUGAUUUACAGUGUGGUGUCCAUUUCUGCUGUACAGCAUACUGACCCAGUGACACACACACACACACACACACACACACACACACACACACACACAUCCUUUCUCUCAUACUCUUCUUUGUCACAGCCUCCCCCCUGCUUCCUUCACAGCCAUGUUCUCCUUUACCUGUCUGCACCCCCAGACCUGAAACUCCUUGAGAGCUGGAACUCUCUCAGUUCUGUUUUUCAGGUGUCAAAGCAGCCCUUUUCAUGAGGACGACGGAUGCUUCUAGAAGGAAGGAGUGAGUACCCACCAAGGCUCUGGGCUCAGCCCCGCCUCCACCUGCUGUGUGACCUUGGGACAUCUCUGAGCAGCUUGGCGCCUCAGUAGCCUCACUUGUAAGAGUGGGGCUCUCUCCAAGGGCCCAUCACUUGGAGAGGGUUAGCCACCCUGUUUCCAUCUUCAUGACAGGAAUUUCAAGACAGCAAUGGUAGAUCGUGAAACCAACACAAGACCCGGCUGACUUCCCAGGUCACAAACCCACCUGGCCAGCUCUGGCUGUUGGGCUUUGAACUUCUUUUCUUGUAUGUUAAAAAAAAAAACCUCAAGUGAUCACCUCAUGCCUGUCAGAAUGGCUGUUAUCAAAAAGGUAAGUAAUAACCAGUCUUGGGGAGGAUGUGGAGACAGGGAAACCUCGUGCAUGUUGGUAAGGAUAGGGGUUGGCACAGCCACAAUGGAAACGGCAUGGGGGUUUCUCAGAAAAUUAAAGUGGAACUACCAUAUGAUCCAGCUGUCCCACUCCCGGGUAUUUAUCCAAAGACUAUGAAAACACUAAUUCAAAAAUAUAUAUGAACCCUUUGUUCACUGCAGCCUUAUUUACAGGUUCAAAAGAGGAAAGCUACUGACGUGCCCACCAAAGGAUGAAUGGAUAAAGAUGUCCAAUAUAUAUAAAAUAUGGCUUGAUACUCAGCGAUCAAAAAAGACGGAAUCAUGCCUUUGGCAACAACAUGGAUGGACCUUGAGAGGCUUAUGCUACGUGAAGUAAGUCAGAUGGAGAAUGACCCAGACCGUGUGAGUUCACUCACAUGGGGCGUUUAAAAACCAAGCAAACGAACAAAACAUUGACGUAGAUGAACCCAACCAAACUAAAGCAAGACAAACCUGUAGAUACAGAGCACAGCGUGGUGGUCACCAGAGAGGAAGAGGGUGAAAUGGGUGAAGGCGACAGAAACUGAAUUUUGGGUGGAAGAGCUGAUUUCCUACUUCCUAUGGACCAAAGCAUGGGCAAGGUAAUGAUCCAGCCAUGACCUUGGAGGUGAAGGUGACAUACGAGGAGAAUGCUGUGGCAGGAAAAUGGAAGGAACCCCAGUCCCUGCAUGGCUGUGGAACAGGGCUGCCCUGUCAUCUUAGACCACUCACUCAUCUUCGAUUUUUAGGGAAAUCUGGACACAGAGGGAUGUGCCCCGGGAAGACGCUGUAAAAUGGCACAGGGAAGAGACACUCAUCUACCGCCAAGGAGAGAAGCACAGCCCUCGAAAGGAAGCAAACCUGCCAACACCUUCAUCGUGGACUUCCAGCCUCCAGACUGUGAGUCCGUGAAUUUCUGUUGCCUAAACUUCCCAGUCUAUGGCACUUUGUGAGGAAAGCCCGAGAACUCACGUAGCAGGAAGAAGAACUUUUGAAGAUUCCCUUGCAGCCAGGUUUGGCCACAUGAUGCAACACUAGCCAAUGAAAUGCCAGCACCGCGAGAGAAAAGGAUGCUGGGAGAGUUUCCCGGAAAGACUUGAUUUCCUUGCAGAGGCUGCUGGUGCACCCAUUUCCCCCUCUCCUGCCUUGGCUGCGGACGGGCUAUUAUGGGUCAUUUUAUGGCCAUGAGAGAAAGUGCUAGAGCUUGGGAAGAUGCCAGCCCUGCCGCUCUUGCCCCACCUGUAACUGCCUCCUUUUAGCCUCCUCCUUCCUUAAUCCACACUGGUCAGGGCUUCUGGGAUUUACAGAGGAACAAAUUCCUGAUGCAUCUGCUCCUUAAGUGCCUCUGACCACCUUCACCGGGCUGUUGCAUAAAACGGUGUUGCAAACGGUGUUAACACCAUGUCCCUGUGAGUUAUUGUCACAGUAAACAAAGCCCUCCCCAAAGCUGAGGUGUCAUUUUCCAGCUUGUCUCCAGCCCCUGACUAUAAAGCCCUGUGUUGGUUCCCCCACCAAGGAAUCAGAUGGGCUGAAAGAUACUCUGUUUUCAGUCCUUUAGCUUGAUUAUUAUUUCAAGCUGGAGGGAGGCCUAGAGAUCUUUUCAUUCAAUACCCUUCGUCUAUAGAUAAGGCAACUGAGGCCCAGAGAGGCUGAGUGAGUUGUCCAAGGACACAGAGCAAGGCCUCGGCAGAGCCAGGCCUUGCAUCCAGGUGUCCUUGGGUCCCAGGGCAGGGCUCCUCCUUCACAUAGACUGAGUGGACUUUGAGACUCAUGUAAGAGUCUAUAUCUGAGAGUCGAUUGUUUAAAAUGCUUUUCUGGCUCAGGGCCCAGCUGAAUUCAUCCCUUUCUCCCUCUUGUCUGAGCAGACGUGACCUCUUCCUUCUAACAUGGGCUGCUCAGCACCACUGGAUUUUCUGUUUGUUUGUUUUUUGUCUUUUUAGGGCCGCACUCAUGGCACAUGGAAGUUCCCAGACUGGGGGUCGUAUUGGAGAUCUAGCCGCUGGCCUGCACCUCAGCCACAGCAAUGUGGGAUCCAAGCCAUGUCUGUGACCUACAGCUCAGCGCAUGGCAAUGCUGGAUCCUUAACCCACUCAUCAAGGCCAAGGAUCGAACCUGUGUCCUCAUGGAUACAAGUCAGGUUCAUUACCACUGAGCCACGACAGGAACUCCAUGGGUUUGUUUUUUUGUCUUUCUUCUCUUGCCACCACCAACAACAAUGAUUACCUUUGUUGCCAUUUACCAUGUACCAGGCACUGUGAAAGUACUUUCCAAACAUUGUCUUAAGUAGCAAUCUAGGUAGCACGAGGACAUCAGUCUUACUGUUCCCAUUUAUAGAUUCACUCCCCACCCCCUUUCUUUUAAUAAAGUGUAGGUGAUUU